AUGGACCAAGACAUUUAUGAAGACGUGCUAGCUCCUGAAAAGAAAAGAUCAAAGGGGAGGCCGAAAACCAAGCGCAUGAAAUCAUCAUCAGAUAUUGGUACAAGAAACAAUAAGAGAAGCUGCUCCAUAUGUGCGUCCGAAGAGCACAGCACAAACUCAUGCCUGUGCAUUGAGGUUCCUGCAGCCGACCCCCAGGGCCCAUAUGCUCUGGACGAUGAUGUAGCAGGGGUGGCGGGGGCAGCUGAACGCAACAUCCUCGCACCAGUGGGGAGCAAUGCAUUUGGGCGAGACGAGGAGGCAGAGCAGAACACAAUAAGCCGUUCAAAUCAGAGAAACAUCAACAACAAACCACCCUCUGCUCCCAGGAAAUGCAAGAACUGCAACCUAACUGGGCACUAUGUGAGCACUUGUCCGAUAUACAAUGGCCCCAGGAAGCCACCCAAAGAAGUCAAAUGCACAAAAUGCAAGCUGGGGGGUCACUACCACACCACUUGCGGCGGUGAUACAACCUACAAGCACAAGCAUGAUCCUUAG
rnacentral:rRNA from 1 species